rnacentral:rRNA from 1 species
UUAAGCGACUAAGCGUACACGGUGGAUGCCCUGGCAGUCAGAGGCGAUGAAGGACGUGCUAAUCUGCGAUAAGCGCCGGUAAGGUGAUAUGAACCGUUAUAACCGGCGAUUUCCGAAUGGGGAAACCCAGUGUGAUUCGUCACACUAUCAUUAACUGAAUCCAUAGGUUAAUGAGGCGAACCGGGGGAACUGAAACAUCUAAGUACCCCGAGGAAAAGAAAUCAACCGAGAUUCCCCCAGUAGCGGCGAGCGAACGGGGAGGAGCCCAGAGCCUGAAUCAGCAUGUGUGUUAGUGGAAGCGUCUGGAAAGGCGCGCGAUACAGGGUGACAGCCCCGUACACAAAAGCGCAUGUGCUGUGAGCUCGAUGAGUAGGGCGGGACACGUGGUAUCCUGUCUGAAUAUGGGGGGACCAUCCUCCAAGGCUAAAUACUCCUGACUGACCGAUAGUGAACCAGUACCGUGAGGGAAAGGCGAAAAGAACCCCGGCGAGGGGAGUGAAAAAGAACCUGAAACCGUGUACGUACAAGCAGUGGGAGCCCCACCACCAAAGCAUUCUCUGGUGUUGAAGGCCCUGCAAAGCAGCAUCGCGGUGGCGGAGCGUCGUUUGCGACGCCCAACACACAAAACAAGCUGUGAGUGCUUUGGGGUGGGGUGACUGCGUACCUUUUGUAUAAUGGGUCAGCGACUUAUAUUCUGUAGCAAGGUUAACCGUAUAGGGGAGCCGCAGGGAAACCGAGUCUUAACCGGGCGUUAAGUUGCAGGGUAUAGACCCGAAACCCGGUGAUCUAGCCAUGGGCAGGUUGAAGGUUGGGUAACACUAACUGGAGGACCGAACCGACUAAUGUUGAAAAAUUAGCGGAUGACCUGUGGCUGGGGGUGAAAGGCCAAUCAAACCGGGAGAUAGCUGGUUCUCCCCGAAAGCUAUUUAGGUAGCGCCUCGUGAAUUCAUCUCCGGGGGUAGAGCACUGUUUCGGCUAGGGGGCCAUCCCGGCUUACCAACCCGAUGCAAACUGCGAAUACCGGAGAAUGUUAUCACGGGAGACACACGGCGGGUGCUAACGUCCGUCGUGAAGAGGGAAACAACCCAGACCGCCAGCUAAGGUCCCAAAGUCAUGGUUAAGUGGGAAACGAUGUGGGAAGGCCCAGACAGCCAGGAUGUUGGCUUAGAAGCAGCCAUCAUUUAAAGAAAGCGUAAUAGCUCACUGGUCGAGUCGGCCUGCGCGGAAGAUGUAACGGGGCUAAACCAUGCACCGAAGCUGCGGCAGCGACGCUGAUGCGUUGUUGGGUAGGGGAGCGUUCUGUAAGCCUGCGAAGGUGGCCUGUGAGGGUUGCUGGAGGUAUCAGAAGUGCGAAUGCUGACAUAAGUAACGAUAAAGCGGGUGAAAAGCCCGCUCGCCGGAAGACCAAGGGUUCCUGUCCAACGUUAAUCGGGGCAGGGUGAGUCGACCCCUAAGGCGAGGCCGAAAGGCGUAGUCGAUGGGAAACGGGUUAAUAUUCCCGUACUUGGUGUUACUGCGAAGGGGGGACGGAGAAGGCUAUGUUGGCCGGGCGACGGUUGUCCCGGUUUAAGCGUGUAGGUGUGUGUUCCAGGUAAAUCCGGUUCACUUUAACACUGAGGCGUGACGACGAGGCACUACGGUGCUGAAGCAACAAAUGCCCUGCUUCCAGGAAAAGCCUCUAAGCAUCAGGUAACAUCAAAUCGUACCCCAAACCGACACAGGUGGUCAGGUAGAGAAUACCAAGGCGCUUGAGAGAACUCGGGUGAAGGAACUAGGCAAAAUGGUGCCGUAACUUCGGGAGAAGGCACGCUGACACGUAGGUGAAGUGAUUUACUCACGGAGCUGAAGUCAGUCGAAGAUACCAGCUGGCUGCAACUGUUUAUUAAAAACACAGCACUGUGCAAACACGAAAGUGGACGUAUACGGUGUGACGCCUGCCCGGUGCCGGAAGGUUAAUUGAUGGGGUCAGCGCAAGCGAAGCUCCUGAUCGAAGCCCCGGUAAACGGCGGCCGUAACUAUAACGGUCCUAAGGUAGCGAAAUUCCUUGUCGGGUAAGUUCCGACCUGCACGAAUGGCGUAAUGAUGGCCAGGCUGUCUCCACCCGAGACUCAGUGAAAUUGAACUCGCUGUGAAGAUGCAGUGUACCCGCGGCAAGACGGAAAGACCCCGUGAACCUUUACUAUAGCUUGACACUGAACAUUGAGCCUUGAUGUGUAGGAUAGGUGGGAGGCUUUGAAGUGUGGACGCCAGUCUGCAUGGAGCCGACCUUGAAAUACCACCCUUUAAUGUUUGAUGUUCUAACGUGGACCCGUUACCCGGGUUGCGGACAGUGUCUGGUGGGUAGUUUGACUGGGGCGGUCUCCUCCUAAAGAGUAACGGAGGAGCACGAAGGUUGGCUAAUCCUGGUCGGACAUCAGGAGGUUAGUGCAAUGGCAUAAGCCAGCUUGACUGCGAGCGUGACGGCGCGAGCAGGUGCGAAAGCAGGUCAUAGUGAUCCGGUGGUUCUGAAUGGAAGGGCCAUCGCUCAACGGAUAAAAGGUACUCCGGGGAUAACAGGCUGAUACCGCCCAAGAGUUCAUAUCGACGGCGGUGUUUGGCACCUCGAUGUCGGCUCAUCACAUCCUGGGGCUGAAGUAGGUCCCAAGGGUAUGGCUGUUCGCCAUUUAAAGUGGUACGCGAGCUGGGUUUAGAACGUCGUGAGACAGUUCGGUCCCUAUCUGCCGUGGGCGCUGGAGAACUGAGGGGGGCUGCUCCUAGUACGAGAGGACCGGAGUGGACGCAUCACUGGUGUUCGGGUUGUCAUGCCAAUGGCACUGCCCGGUAGCUAAAUGCGGAAGAGAUAAGUGCUGAAAGCAUCUAAGCACGAAACUUGCCCCGAGAUGAGUUCUCCCUGAGACUUAAAGUCUCCUGAAGGAACGUUGAAGACGACGACGUUGAUAGGCCGGGUGUGUAAGCGCAGCGAUGCGUUGAGCUAACCGGUACUAAUGAACCGUGAGGCUUAACCUU